rnacentral:lncRNA from 1 species
CAAUUUCAUGGGAUUUUGGGUGAAAUUAAUGGGAUUUUGGGUCAAGAUAAUGGCAUUCUGGGUCAAAUUAAUGGGAUUUUGGGUCAAGAUAAUGGGAUUCUGGGAGAAAUUUAUUGAAUUUUGGGAGAAAUUAAUGGGAUUUUGGGUCAACUUCAUGAGAUUUUGGGUCAAAGAACGGGAUUUUGGGUUGAGUCUCACGACUAGGAGUCAACCUCAUGAGAUUUUGGGUCAAGAUAACGCGAUUUUGGGUCAAGAGAAUGGGAUUUUGGGUCAACUUCAUGGGAUUUUGAGUCAACAGGAUUUUGGGUCAAGUUUUGGGAUUUUGAGUCAACUUAUUGGGAUUUUGAGUCAAGUAACAAGACUUUGGGUCAACUUAACGGGUUUUUGUGUCAACUUAGCGGGAUGUUGGGUCAGGAGAAUGGGAUUUCGAGUCAACUCUUGGGAUUUUGAGUCAACUUAUUGGGAUUUUGGGUCAACUCUUGGGAUUUUGAGUCAAGUUUUGGGAUUUUGAGUCAGCUUAACAGGAUUUUGGGUCAAGUUGGUGGGAUUUUGGGUCAAGUUAGCAGGAUUUGGGGUGGAAUUCUCAUCUUUUUGCUGCUCUGGCUGCACUAUAGAGCCAAGUAGAGCGUGAUGGGGCAGUGAUCGCUGCCCAUGGCCUUGUUGCGGAUCUUGGAAUCGCACAGGGCC